UCCCUGGUGGUCCAGUGGCAAAGACUCGGUGCUCCCAAUGCUGGAAGCCCAGGUUCGAUCCCUGAUCAGGGAA
rfam:TPA: Bos taurus chromosome 7, whole genome shotgun sequence.